GGGGCUGUAGUUCAAUGGUAGAACACAUCCAUGGCAUGGAUGUGGUACGAGUUCGAUUCUCGUCAGCUCCACCA
rnacentral:tRNA from 1 species